GUGAGAGGGCAUCAGAUGAGGGAAGGAGGAUUGGGCACCGGAAAAGAUGGCCGGAAGCGGAUCCGUUGAGCGCUCCUUUAAGAACAAGGGUACUGUGAAGGUUCAGCCCUUCCUCUAGCGCCAAUCCUGUUGGUGCAAAAAUCUGCCUGCGCCGGAGAAGCUGGAGUUGGGGAAGCCGCGGUCGCCGCCGGGACCUGCAAAGGAAGUCUAAACCGGAGGUGGGGUUGCUCCGGCAAGACCCUCCGACGCUCAAGUCAGUUCUCUGCCUCAACAAGAAUGGAGUGCUCGAAUGGAGAAUUUAGCAGAGUUUUGAGAUAAGAAAUGAGCUUAGAGAACAAC
rnacentral:lncRNA from 1 species